UGUUGCGUGAAUCAAUUUCCACGUGAAAUUCUGGUUAAGAAACAUGUAUCAAAUCGCUUAAAUUCGUACCUUGUCUAGUGGUCCAUUCUGCUAUUGAGUCAUGGACAAGCAUCAGUGGAGAGAGGUUUUAGUAUAAACAAAAACCUAGAAGUUGAAAAUUUAAAGGAAUAAUCUUACACAGCACAGCGUUAUGUACAUGAGUUUACUGAUGAAAUUGAGAGCUUAUCCAGUAUUAUGGCGCUCGAUAGAGGCGCGGACAGCAAUAAAGAAAAAAAACCUUAAAACCGACAGACAAGCAACAAUAAAGAGUUAAGAGUAUGAUUAGAUGUAUCGUGUAAUAUUGAAGGCGUCAGAUGUACACGUAAAAUACUGGCCUCGUUAGAGUGUAUUAAUACAAAAAUAAACUUAAUAUCGCAUUUUUCGGGCCAAAAUGUUCAGUUAAGCGGGCAAUGCUCUAUAACGGCUCAACAAAAUCCUUUAACAUCAUAUUUGAAUCGACGCGUAAUGGAUUCCCAUUGUGACUUUUCGCAAUUAGAACUUUCAAAAGUUUCUCUGUAAAAAGUUAUUUGCUUUGCAAAAUUUUGAAGGAUCGGGAGCAUCGAUGUAUCGAUCAAUCGAAAUCUUCUAACUUGAUCUCUCAUGAAGUAUCGAUCAAUCGAUAGUAAUCAAUUUCAAUUCGACCAAGGACUGGUUCCAUGCUGGUCUGUCGUCGUUCCUCUUUGUUGUUUCGUUCCUCGUUCGUUUUGUUCAAAAACAAAACAUCAACAAAAAUGCGUGGCGAAGGCGAUUAAAGAUAAAUGCCAAUGUAAGCUUGCUUCGAAGUGAUUAUGGAUGCUUUUGAAAUUUAUUAACGAGGUCAACUGAAUAAUCUGCUGCAGACAGACCAAAUUACCCUAAAUGAUGAACCAAAGAGGAACAAAGUAGAAUACUUCUCAUGAAAACUUUCAAGAUACAGAUUGAACGUGAACGCAUUUCCGUAUGUCUCGCUUGAUUUUUGCAGCCCAAAAGGAAGUGUGACUUGGUGUAAACUCAUCUAUUCAUAGGAAAAUUCUUUACCUCUACUUGAAAGUUGCGUUGAGCGAGGCCUAGACCAUGGAGUAUGAAGGAAGCUGGCCAACUGAUGCUCCAUUAUGAGAUUUUUAGGAAAACCUACUGGGACGAUGACAACCUGCAGUCCAAAAUUUUUAAUAAAAAUAACAGGUUCUUUUUGUAGAACAUUGUCUUACAUCCUCAGUAGCAGAAGUACUUUGGCUGAAUUAUUCUCUACCAGGAAAGGAAAAAACAAAAGAUCUGGUUGAGGAAUGAUUUUUACUCUACUAUUUUUUGCUCUUAAAAAAAAUAGAUCUCAAUAAAUUAUACUUUGAUAUUAUGAAAGCUUUGUAGAAGAAGGCCAACGCUUUCCAAUGCAUGUGUGAAUGCUUUUACUUCACCAAAAAUGUUCAAGAGUUUAAGUUAGGUACACCGAUAGAGAUCCAGUGAUUUCGUCAUCAAAAAUUAAAGUUAACACAUGAUUGUAACUCUCAUGAUGAAGGGAAGCAGCUCAUUAAAGCUUUUCUUCUCAUGUUUAUCAUAUUUUAAUUUUUCCUUCAUCAUCAGAAUUUCAGUUCUAUGCUGAAUAGAACACCAGACAGGGUAUGACUGAGAGUACCACAAGAUAUGUCCCCUUGUCAAAAUAUCACGAGGAACUUAAUUAUUUGCUCAGAGUAAUGUAUCAGCUUGAAAUGGAAAAAUUAGCAUUUAUAGUCUACAUUAGAAUCAGUCAAUUUAUACUUCCUGCUCAUGAUAAAACCAAUAUUAAUUUAGUCAUGGAAAAAAAGUAAAGAUAAUUCAGCUACUAAGAGAAGAACAUGAUCUCCAAUUAUGUUCAAUUUUUUUUCUUUUAAAAAAGCAUGAUUUCGAGGACCUGUAAAAACUCAGAAAAUACUUGAAUCCAUCAGGGAAUGAAACAUAUCAGGGAAAAUUAGGCAAAUUCUGUGGGAAUGGCCAUAUCAGGAACAUUCCUCUCUUUUUGCUCUGAGAUCAUACUAUUUUUCUAAACUGGGUGUCUGCUGAACUUGACUUGAAAGGAGAAACCAGAUUA